rnacentral:rRNA from 1 species
UACGGGGGGGGCAAGCGUUGUUCGGAAUUACUGGGCGUAAAGGGCUUGUAGGUGGCCAACUAAGUCAGACGUGAAAUCCCUCAGCUUAACUGGGGAACUGCGUCUGAUACUGGAUGGCUUGAGUUUGGGAGAGGGAUGCGGAAUUCCAGGUGUAGCGGUGAAAUGCGUAGAUAUCGGGAGGAACACCAGUAGCGAAGGCGGCACUCUGGGCCGGUACUGACGCUGAGGAGCGAAAGCGUGGGGAGCAAACAGG